rnacentral:rRNA from 1 species
UGGGGAAUUUUGGACAAUGGGCGCAAGCCUGAUCCAGCCAUGCCGCGUGCGGGAAGAAGGCCUUCGGGUUGUAAACCGCUUUUGUCAGGGAAGAAAUCUUCUGAGUUAAUACCUCGGGAGGAUGACGGUACCUGAAGAAUAAGCACCGGCUAACUACGUGCCAGCAGCCGCGGUAAUACGUAGGGUGCAAGCGUUAAUCGGAAUUACUGGGCGUAAAGCGUGCGCAGGCGGUUUUGUAAGACAGAGGUGAAAUCCCCGGGCUCAACCUGGGAACUGCCUCUGUGACUGCAGGGCUUGAGUGCGGCAGAGGGGGAUGGAAUUCCGCGUGUAGCAGUGAAAUGCGUAGAUAUGCGGAGGAACACCGAUGGCGAAGGCAAUCCCCUGGGCCUGCACUGACGCUCAUGCACGAAAGCGUGGGGAGCAAACAGGAUUAGAUACCCUGGUAGUCCACGCCCUAAACGAUGUCAACUGGUUGUUGGGAAGGUUCCUUCUCAGUAACGUAGCUAACGCGUGAAGUUGACCGCCUGGGGAGUACGGCCGCAAGGUU